rnacentral:snRNA from 1 species
ACGCUCAGGUCUCUGCGCAUUCGCAGUAACUUUUCGCCUUUUACUAAAGGUUACCGUGCGUAGGGACAACUUAAUGAGCAAUUUACGCUGAAUUUUUUGGAGGCCUUGCCCGUUUGGGCGAGA